rnacentral:rRNA from 1 species
UACGUAGGUGACGAGCGUUGUCCGGAUUUACUGGGCGUAAAGGGCGCGUAGGCGGCCUUCUAAGUCGGACGUGAAAUCCCUCGGCUUAACCGAGGAACUGCGUCCGAUACUGAAAGGCUUGAAUCCGGGAGAGGGAUGUGGAAUUCCUGGUGUAGCGGUGGAAUGCGCAGAUAUCAGGAGGAACACCAAUAGCGAAGGCAGCUCGCUGGGACGGUACUGACGCUGAGGCGCGAAAGCGUGGGGAGCGAACAGG